rnacentral:rRNA from 1 species
AAAUUGAAGAGUUUAAUCAUGGCUCAGAUUGAACGCUGGCGGCAGGCCUAACACAUGCAAGUCGAACGGUAGCACAGAGAGCUUGCUCUCGG